rnacentral:rRNA from 1 species
GUAGUCAUAUGCUUGUCUCAAAGAUUAAGCCAUGCAUGUCUAAGUAUAAGCAAUCUAUACCGUGAAACUGCGAAUGGCUCAUUAAAUCAGUUAUCGUUUAUUUGAUAGUACCUUACUACUUGGAUAACCGUGGUAAUUCUAGAGCUAAUACAUGCUAAAAACCCCGACUUCGGAAGGGGUGUAUUUAUUAGAUAAAAAACCAAUGCCCUUCGGGGCUCCUUGGUGAUUCAUAAUAACUUAACGAAUCGCAUGGCCUUGUGCCGGCGAUGGUUCAUUCAAAUUUCUGCCCUAUCAACUUUCGAUUGUAGAGUAGUGGUCUACAAUGGUUUCAACGGGUAACGGGGAAUUAGGGUUCUAUUCCGGAGAGGGAGCCUGAGAAACGGCUACCACAUCCAAGGAAGGCAGCAGGCGCGCAAAUUACCCAAUCCCGACACGGGGAGGUAGUGACAAUAAAUACUGAUACAGGGCUCUUUUGGGUCUUGUAAUUGGAAUGAGUACAAUUUAAAUCCCUUAACGAGGAACAAUUGGAGGGCAAGUCUGGUGCCAGCAGCCGCGGUAAUUCCAGCUCCAAUAGCGUAUAUUAAAGUUGUUGCAGUUAAAAAGCUCGUAGUUGAACCUUGGGCCUGGCUGGCCGGUCCGCCUCACCGCGUGCACUGGUCCGGCCGGGUCUUUCCUUCUGAGGAGCCGCAUGCCCUUCACUGGGUGUGUCGGGGAAUCAGGACUUUUACUUUGAAAAAAUUAGAGUGUUCAAAGCAGGCCUAUGCUCGAAUACAUUAGCAUGGAAUAAUAGAAUAGGACGUGUGGUUCUAUUUUGUUGGUUUCUAGGACCGCCGUAAUGAUUAAUAGGGAUAGUCGGGGGCAUCAGUAUUCAAUUGUCAGAGGUGAAAUUCUUGGAUUUAUUGAAGACUAACUACUGCGAAAGCAUUUGCCAAGGAUGUUUUCAUUAAUCAGUGAACGAAAGUUAGGGGAUCGAAGACGAUCAGAUACCGUCGUAGUCUUAACCAUAAACUAUGCCGACUAGGGAUCGGGCGAUGUUAUCUUUUUGACUCGCUCGGCACCUUACGAGAAAUCAAAGU